rnacentral:lncRNA from 1 species
UAUCUACAUAACUGGUAAUUAUGCUGGUUUUAUUUAAUUAUUUUAAAUUAAUAAAAAUUUACUAAUAGCAUGAUAUAUGACUGGAUAAAUCACGGUCAGAUUUCAAUAUUUAGAAAUCUUAGUUAACUAAAGAAUAUAUAGUUAUAAAUAUUCCAUUCUGCAGGUGGAAUUAAGAAUAAUUAUAUAUUAAUGUGAUAGUAUCACAUGUUAGCAUACCACUGUUUUUAUCCAGGUGUAUUGAUUUGCUCUAAUAUAAGAUAAGAUAUCUUUUUAGGCAAAUUAAAAUUCGGCUUUUGUAAAAAUAUGGUAGAUUAUUCUUAUUGGAUGGUUCCAGGAAAUGACUAAUAAACUGGUUUGAAUGUUAUUUUAAAUUGAAAACUACAUGAGAAUAGGAUAUUAUAUGCCUAGGAGGAUCUAGCCAGCAUUGAAAGGGUUACUCAGUUGAUUUAACUGUUAGCCAAGGUUUUAUGGCUUUUCGCUGUGUGAAGCUUUACUUUUGUCCAUGAAGUACCCUCAUAAAUCUUAAGUGACAGAUGAUGCUGUUAGCCAUUGGAACAUGUAUAGCCAUUCCAUUGUAUUGCAUACUUAUGUUAUACUAAAUAUUUACUGAUUAUUAUCAUGCAUGCUGCCUAAUAUUAUUGUUAAUUAAUUGUUACAAUAAAUUAAAUCUAUUUUUAUAACACAUUGUGAUUUUUUAUUUGUAUGGAAUUAAUUUCACUUACAUGAUAAACGAUCUCUAAGAUCUAAGAGAAUUAAAAUAGUGGGCAAUUCUCGACUGUUUAAUAUUAUCAUCCCAUAAAUAUCCCCACAUUAUUUCAUUGUCAUUAUUGUCAUGCCCAUAUGCUCAUUUUUCCCCUCCCAUCCUGCUAUGAAAAUGGGGUAUAAAUAUAACUUGCGUAAUAAAGGAAUUUGAAUUGGUUAUUGAACACGUCUCUGCUAUUCAUUUCCAAUUUCCAGAGCUCUGAAUGAGUUGGCAAAUAUCCAUCAUCCACAAAGGGCCCGGGCUGAUUUUAUCCCCAACAAAUUGGUGUCAGAAGUUUGGGUGCAAUUGGGAACGGAAAUGACAGGUAAGAGGGUUUAGUGUCUUUUACGACCUUAAUUCUUUACCCCCCCUGCAUUUCUUAUUUCAAUGGGUGUUACAAGAACUCUAUAUACCAUUACAACACAACCUUCUUUUGAUUAAAACCCUUAUUAUGUCAGCAUCCAGACUAUACGAACGCAUUGCACAAACUAUUAUAAAGACCUAUUCGUCUGUACGAACGAUGGACCACCCAGUCCUUGGCGUGUGCCGCCACUUAACCCCAUCACCUCUAAAAGUACCGAAUGACCGACCACCCUAUGGGCGGAGUGUGCCGCUCAUUAACCGCACAAGGUGCUGUGGUCUGCAGUUAACCACCAACUAAUGGGCGGUCCCAGGGGACCCACGUUCGUAUGUAAUUCCCCUAAGGGGAAACUGCUGAAAGCCUCACGAACAAGGACCACCUGCAUUCUGGCGUGUGGCAUCAAUUAGAACGCGGCUCUUGCGGUUAAUCGCAGGUUAAGUACCCCCUUCCAGACGGUCGCCCUUCAUCUCCCGAAUGACCAGGACAACCAGACUGAGAGCGGGGAUUCAUGCACCUCUGUAGCCGACCCCCUGCUCCAUGUCGAGGUCCCGCUGUCCAUUGACCGGUCUCAAAACAUGGCUGCCAUCAGGGGUGAUCCACCAAAGUACCAAAUAAGACUUUAUAUGGCAGAAACCUCCUGUUCAGUUUGUGGGAUCUGGGCAAAAUUCGUAUACUUGAUGCGCCCAGAUCUGAGCUGCUGAAUGAAUAGUGGAAUGAACUAUAUUCCCCCUGAAAUGUUAAAGUUAUGUAUUUUUAUGCUGUUUUCUAGGACACAAUAAAGCAUGGUCUUUUGGGCACUUGGAGAUAAUUAGAUUGUAUAACCGUUGGCCUCAUUAUCUCCAAGCUGGGCGGGUACUAGUUUGAAUAAUACAUUGUAUUAUGAUUGGUUGAAUCUUUGUACUGUACCUGUAUCCCAUCAGGUCCAUGGGGGGCUGUCCCUGGACCUGGGGACUUGCAUAAAUUGCCAUGCUUGUGUGCCAUUAAAGCCAGUUCGUUUUGACCCUCAACUCGCAGCCUCGACUCAUGUUGUAGGGAUCCGGGAAUCCUAGCUUUACUAUAGCUAGUGAGAUAUUCUACACUUACAGGUUUCUACCGAUUGAAGCACCGUUCGACUCUCUGACUUUGGGAACCAGGACAUCCAAGCGAUCCAACCUCCUGCUAGACCGGAGGCAAUCGGAACAAUGGGGUUGUUCACUAUUUACAUUUUUAAAGGGGAUUUUUACUGCAUCGUGUCUUUGAUAAACAUGGUAUUUUUUUAAGUCUUAGGUAGACUUCUCUUACUCCUUGGGUUGGAGGAAAGCCUUUGGCAGGCAGUAUUGUAUACAAUUGUCUAUGGUAGACAAUCCCUCUUUGGUAGAGGUUCACCUUUGGCAGGUGGUAAAAUGAUUUUCAAGCCUUUGGCAGGCUGUCAUGUCAUGUCAUGUAAUGUAAUGUACAUGUACAUGUGGGUUUUGCAGACUAAAAUGGUUUAGAAAAAAAAAGGGUUAAAAGUUCCCUUUUAACCCUUUUUUUUUUUUUCUAAACCAUUGUUUAAACCUUGUAUGAUGGAUGUUUGGCAUUACUCCAGCUUGCUAAUUUAUGUGCUAUUUUAUGAUGUGCAACGCUGAUUUUAAGCAUAAAGUCUUAAUUGAGGGAAUGUCAAAAGUAAAUGUAAAGGUGAUGAUGAAUAAAAGAAAAACAUAAAGGUUAUUUAAGGGGGGGCUACAAAUUCUAGCACUAACAUGAUUUCUCUGCAUGUAUGUUUGCAGAAUGAGCCCUUUAUUUUUAUACUUGGACAAAAGUACUAUAAGCCCACUACACUUUUUCAUGAGAGUGGGCUGUAUGAUUGUUUAUAUGAGUCCUUUAUUUACAUAUUGGGACAAAAAGCCACUUCAUUCAAAACGUCAAACACCACAUUCUUUCUGCCAUGUGUGUUUGUUGCAGAGAAUUUAUGUUGUAAAUGUAGAUGUUUAUAGAGAGCAAAAUUUACAAUUGUUGUAUGGGGAUGCUGAGAUUUUUAUUGAUUGUGACCCAAACUGUGCAGAAGUGGGUUUGAAAUUUUGGUCAUGGAAUGUAGGAUCAGAAAACCAUGGACAAAGGUUUUUACCUGUGUUGAUAUGACUUUUGGGAACUCAAAUAGACCGGUCAAAAUUUUGCCAUGCCUUUAACAUGAAGUAGUAUAAAUAUUUUGAGUCUUUGAGUUCUGACAAAUGCAGGUGAUACCAUGUCUGUGUAAUCUGGUCCAAAUGUUCUAUAAGCGUAUAAGAGAGACAUUCUAUUGACAGGGUACAUAUGUUGCAACUGGUUAAUGCAAGUGUUAUACAAAUGUUUAAGUCAAACGUGUGAUAUGGCCGUACGGGAUCGCUUCUUUAAAAAGAAAAAAUAAACCCUUUGGUACCAGAACUUUUAAAUAAAUCUGAUACAAACUAAAAUUGGUAUACCUUAAAAUAAUAUGUUCUGAAUACAGCUGUUAAAAGUUUAUUCUGUGUAAAUGGUGAUUGUGAUAAAUGUGUGUUUUGGUUACUCAGUUUGAAGUAUGCAGUUUAAUUGUCAUGUAUGUUAAUGGGUAUUUUGCUGUGUUAUUUUAAAUUAUAUUUGAAUAAGUUUGUCUCAGUAUUGAUACAGAUGGAAAUGGCAGCGUAAUAAUCUAUUAAAUAAUUUAUUUUUUAUUGAAUACUAGUCUAAGAGCAAUAUGAGUUGUAGUCUUAAGAAAAAAAAAGGGGGGGAGGCUGUUUUUGUAAGUUUUAGCUGAUUUCCCAAAUUCUGUUGCAAUAAUGGACUUCUUGCCAAAAUUCGACUUUCCUGUCCAGUUGCCAGGGUUUUUGGUCUAAUCUUAAAGCAGUACUGCUUGCAUAGUUUGCAGACAUGAAUAAUGCACAAACAUGGGAACCUACAUUAUGUCUGUGUUUCUUUUGAGGGACACUGAGUGUGACAUUUAUUAAUUAAUUUUGGAUUGAGUUAAUUGCCUGUCCAUGAAUAUGCUUUUUGUAUUGUUAUGAUUGCUGGAUAUCUACUACAUUCGCUUUGUUCUGUGUUAUAAGAUGACAUGUGUGAUAUUACAAUGAGUAUGAAGAAUAUUUAAAGAAUAUUUGCAUGUCAUUAAUGCAAGCCUUUAGUGUCUUUUUACAGCAGAUUAAAUGCUGAUCGGCUCACGAAAAGGGGCCCCUGGGAAAGAAAAGAAACAAAAAUGAAUCUGUUUUUCCAAUUUUAAAUGUCUCUCUUCGUAUUAUUAGGGGAGUAUUUAGAGUUAACUCACCUUUUAAAGUGCAUUGCAUUAUUUAAGUCAAAGAAAAUGAAAAAAAUAUAUCUUUAACAUAAAAAAUUAUGUUAUAUGGUUAUAUAAAAAGAAAAAAAUGAAUGGAUGUAUAGGAUAGGUUUUUUCCAAGAUUCAGAUUCAUCUAGUAUGCCUCAUUGAGUAUAGCAAAAUGAUGAAAUGGUAUUUUUAAUAGAGAUCAGACAAUUUUUGAUGAUAAAUGAGGCAAGUCUAAACUACUGUAUUAUAUUUGUAUUGGUAUAUUGAAAGCAUUUUGCAGACACAGAAGAGAAUAAAUAAUAUAAUAAUUAUAAAAGGAACCAUACUAUGGGAAGAGGUCACCCUAUUAAAUUGCUAAGGGGCUAAACUCAUUUUUGAUAAGCAUAUAAAAUUUAGUUUUUGUGGUUAGACUUUUGAUACUCAAUUUGAACUCAAUUGAAGUAUUACAACUAGUGAUGUCCCGAAUGGUUUGGCGAACAUAUGCGCUGUUCGGUCCGCCCCCUAUGUCAUCAUUGAGUAAACUUUGACCCUGUACCUCCCAGUCAGCAGACACAUUCCAGCCAAUCAGCAGCAGACCCUCCCUCCCAGACCAUCCCACGUCCUGGACAGCACCCAUUUUACAUUCAUUGUGAAGCUGCAUUCUUAGUGAGCUGUCCAGGAGGUGGGAGGGUCUGGGAGGGAAGGUCUGCUGCUGAUUGGCUGGAAUGUGUCUGCUGACUGUGAGGUACAGGGUCAAAGUUUACUCAAUAAUGAUGAAUAGGGGGCGGACCGAACAGCGCAUAUGUUCGCCAUCCGUGGCGAACCGUUCGGGACAUCACUAAUUACAACCAUAUCCUUGCAGGUAUAGGAAACAGCUGCAAUAUGAUUUUAAUAUUUGCAAUAUAUUAGUGUUUUCAAUGUAUUCUGACAAUGGAAAAGUACCUACGCAUGUCUGCAUUACACCUAUGACCCAGACUGUCAGUAUUGCAAACCCUAUAUGAAGACUCUGCUUUCACUGUUUAUGUAUACACCCCUAGACAACUGUGCUAUACAUACACAAUAAAUCUUCAAAAGCGUAUUAAUAUUAUAUCUGUGUGGUACACAAAGAGGGGUACACAAAGAGGGGGUGUGAGUUAGGUAAUCUCGACCUGCAUAUGGAAUAUGCUUCCUCCUUGUUCACUUUUGGUCAAACUGUUAGUCUGUGACCGGCCCCCUUUGACCCCAACUGAAUUUCUUGGGAAGAUUCAUGAGAAAGAUACAGCAGGUUGUUUUGAUAUAAAGAAAAGGGAAAAGUAUGUUGUAUUGGUCACAAAGGAUUGUGAUCUUAAGCAGGCGAGACAAGGACAUUUGGGAGGUGAUAGGAAACGUUUUAGAGGCAGAGGUAGAGGAUUUGAUCAAAGGGUCUAACUUUUGUAGAGGUGGCAACUUCAGCACUGUUUUAAUUGUGGAUAGCAGGGAUUCACCCCAAGGUGCUCGAGGUUAACCCGGUUCUCCCGGUCAAGCUGGCCCCACUAGUACUCCUGGUAUUGCUGGUGCCCCUGGCUUCCCUGGUGCCUGUGGUGCUCCUGGACCUAAGGGUAACAAUGGUGAACCUGGUGCUCAGGGAAACAAAGGAGAACCCGGUGCUAAAGGAGAACCUGGCCCAGCUGGCGUUGGACCCACCCUGACAGGUUCCUCAAUACCAACCACAGCUUCCAACCUAUACCCACACCCAACAACCCCAGCCUAAUACACAUAUGGUUCAUGUUUUUAAUACUUCAUAUAUAGUUUUGAGUGAUAAAACAGUAUUAAUGCUGGCUCUUAGAGGAUGUACAAGCUGAAGCUGGGACUUAGCCAUUGUUUGCAUAGGCUGCGCAAUGUGAAAUAACUAAAAUAAAAUAGGAAAAUAAUAAGUAUGCUUAGUCAAUUUGUAACGUGGUAUCAUAGAGGCAUCUGCAAUAAAAUAAGUGGGUUUCCAAGACCUUACAAGUGAGGGCAACUUAAUAUAACAUAUGUCUACAGUUUGCUGUCCCUUCCUUAUCAGAGGCCACUUGCAACCUUAACACAGCAAGACAACUCUUCCGAAACCUGUAUUAAACAAAGCACUUUAGAACAAUAGUAAUUCAUUUUGUUUCUCCUAUUUCAUUCCUAGUUGUUCGGAAAAAGAUUGUUUAAGUGGGAUAACUGUACAGUAUUAAAACAUGAUCACAUACAUACAGAACUGGUGGCUUUUUGGGCAUCGGGAUCUGUGAAGAAAUGCCUUUUUUUAACUGUAUAUGCUCUCUUUGUAUUUGUGUUAAUAGCAAUGUUCCCCUAUGGCAUUCGGUAGGCAAAACUACUGAAUGCAGAUCCCCCUGUCACCCCUUUAUACAGACUGUACCCCCUUGCUGGCUGGAUUACGUUCGGCAGAAGUUUUGCACGAACGGCAGGUCUCACCGCCAUUUCGGGACUUCCUCGUGUUCGCGGCCAUUUUAGCUCCCGAACAGCGGUGUUUGCCAUUGAAUGUCUGGAACUGAAAACGGACACUCAAACAGGCGAACACCGCUGAAGCCUCCAGACCUUCGGUAAAACCCCUUCCAAACUACCGAACGACCGGGCGUUCGGUAGAAAGACUUACCAACAGAUGGGGAAUCCAGCGAACCAAGGAUGGUAGCUGGAUGGCCGGCCGUUCGGGAGGUUUUUCAUGCGAUCUAAGACCGACUGCAGGGCCAGAAUUCAUGGAACUGUUUUCGGCUACUUUGCCCGUGCAGUCGGUCAAAACUUCUAAGUCCUAUAUCUCCCGAACGGCUGAACCGAAUGGCCUGAGAUUUUAAUAUGUUGGUCCUUGGGGUACAUCCAAACUUUGGGGAAUUUCUGUUACGUUUUAAUUGUGUUUAAUGGUUAUCUGAGGGGAGGAGAUGUACAGUAUGUAUAUUGUUAGGAUUGGAUGUAUGGCUAAUUAUAUGGGAGGCUCCCUUGCAUGGGCUGAAUUCCAUAAAAAGAGCAUGCCUGUCAUUAAACCUCAGUUCAUCUUUGUACCCUUAUUCUGACUACGUAUGCUGUUUGGGAGUUCGUGUGUUUUACUGUGGGAAUUAUCCAGGAACACUAUUGGAUUUACAACUGGGAAUUCGUCUACUAUAACUACCGAACGGAGGGCUAUAUUCACUGGGCUCUGGCUGUUCGGGAGGAAACUAACGAUUAAGGUUUAAAUGUACUUGGUUUCCUUACAGGAUCUAUACAAGUUUUCGGUUUCCAAAGAUGUUAUCAGGAUCCACAAAAUUUUUAGACUUCAGCAUUCCAAUUUUAUUAAGGUAAUGAGAUUAUCAAAUCAAGGUUUAAGUUUAAGAACAGCAUUUUAUUGGGAAUUAUUCCAAUAUGUAUAUGUUAGUGUUUUAGUACUCAACAAGCAUUUAUAUAGAAUUAGUGCUUCUCUCAUCCAUACAAAGGCAUUCUAAAAGGAAAUUAUGUAUUCAAAUUUUAUAAAGGACAAAUUCAAUGAAAUAUAAGCAACACUGAGAGAAGUACAUGUUACACUAGUUAAGGGUUUAACUUUAGUCUCUAAUUUGAAUUUAGCCUAGAUAAUUAAUUUAUUGAUGUCAUACUGAUCCUUGUGUUUGUAUGAUUAUAGAAACUGUACUGGAGUAUUUGUGCCGCCUGAUAUUUGGGACUACACACCAAUCUCUCUGGCUGACCUACCUGCCUACCUACCUUUUUUGCAAUUAAAUCUGUUUGGUCAAAAUCCAUGCUGGCCGAAGAAACUGACAUGCUUACUUAUGAGGACAUGAACUAACUUGGAAAGUCCUGAAGGUGCAGUACUGUCUAAUUCUGCUAUUUCUGUAUUACCCUUUCAACAACUGGGGUGUUGCACAGAGUAUUGCGGUGAACAUCCAGCAAACAGAAGAAUUAAGAACUAUGUGGAAGCUGACAUUGUCUUGUUGUCAGCCAUAUUGCUACCCUUAGCUAUGUUAUGGUGUCUAAGAUUAUGGAACAAAGUUUAUGGUGUCUAAGAUUCUUUAUACUCCUUGAAAGACUUAUUCUAUUUUUCUGGACUAUGCUGGACUAUUGAACUAUUUUGUUAUUUUUAUUUUUGUAGUUAGCCGGAGAGAGAGGAAGUGUUAGCUUACUCAGGCAUGGAUGUACUAUGUGUGUCAUUGAUGUAUGUUGAGUGUACCAAGGAUGGAUUCCCAUGUAUUAAGUGUGGAUAUGACUGGACCAUCGAAAUAGGGAUGUGUUUAGGAGGCAUAGGACGCAAGGUCAUGAUUGGGAUUAUUGUUAGAAUUGCAAACUGAUUAGAAAUUAUCUCAUGAUAUAAUAUGUAAGUGGGCCUUUUCAAACUAAUCAAGAAGUGUUUCCCAAUCCCAAUACCCGAGCUAUUUACUUACAAGUGCGGGUUUAAUAAGUCACUAAUGCUGUCAACGUGAGGGGAUGGCAUGGCUACACAGUCAUAGCACUCACUUAGAGUUUCCCCAGAUGUGCUUUUUUCCUCAAAUAUGAGUUUUUACCACUGGAUUUUUUUGACCUGGCCCCAGAUCACUGGGUGGACUGGUAAUCCAAGACCCUGGUUCAAAGAGGGGGAAUAGAUAUUAUUCCCAUUUUGACUAUAUGUGUUUACGUUGUGAAUUGUCAUCAUUGUCACGCCCAUAUGCUCAUUUUUCCCCCUCCCAAAUUUGAAUUGUUUAUUGAACACGUCUCUGCUAUUCAUUUCCAAUUUCCAGAGCUCUGAAUGAGUUGGCAAAUAUCCAUCAUCCACAAUGGGCCCGGGCUGAUUUUAUCCCCAACAGGUCCCUGCUAUCUAUGUCUCCCCAUCCUAAUGCUCUUGGAUAAGGUCUAGGGGUCCUCACACCCGCCACCCGUAUAACAGUUCAAAUGGGGAAAAAACUGUAGAUUCCUGAGGCACCUCCCGGUAAGCAAAUAGGAGUUAUGGCAGGAAUCAUUCCCAACCUCUGCAAGUGGUAGUAUAUGUCCUUAACAUUUGUUUAAGGGUUCCAUUAACCCAUUAAGGACACAUGACAUAUGUGACAUGUCAUGAUUUCCUUUUAUUUCAGAAGUUUGGUCCUUAAGGGGUUAAACCACUCACAGAGACGGUUAGUCGGGGGGUGGUAAGGGUAACUCAUAAUGGGCCUGAUCCCACAGACUUUCCACUGCUGAUUCAGCAGUGAACUGAGUACCUUGGUCAGAAAGAAUCUCCCGUGGAAAUCCUACUCAGGAGAAUGUCUUGACCAGGGCAUCAGCCACUGUCUUGGCCUGAAAGAUGGAUACAGUCACAGCCUCGGGGUACCGGGUAUAGUCCACUACAGUAAGGAUAUAUCACUUACCGGGGUGGCUAGGCUGUGCUACGGGUCCGAUCAGGCUCACCACUACCCUGCUAAAGGGCUUCUCAAUAAUGGGCACAGAAACCAAUUUAGCUUUUGGGUGGUCCCCACUUUUGCCCACCCACUACCAGUCUUCACACGUUUGGCAAUACUGCCGGACAUCCUUGGAUAUCCCAGGCCAAAAAAAGUUCUGGGUUACCCGAUACGAUGUCCGUCUUAUUCCCAGAUGUCCUGCUAAUGGUACAUCAUGUCCC